UACGUAGGGUGCGAGCGUUGUCCGGAAUUAUUGGGCGUAAAGAGCUUGUAGGCGGUUUGUCGCGUCUGCCGUGAAAAUCCGAGGCUCAACCUCGGACUUGCGGUGGGUACGGGCAGACUAGAGUGUGGUAGGGGAGACUGGAAUUCCUGGUGUAGCGGUGAAAUGCGCAGAUAUCAGGAAGAACACCCGUGGCGAAGGCGGCUCUCUGGGACGGUACUGACGCUGAGACGCGAAAGCGUGGGGAGCGAACAGG
rnacentral:rRNA from 1 species